GAUGAACGCUAGCGGCAGGCUUAAUACAUGCAAGUCGAGGGGCAGCAUGGUGUAGCAAUACACUGAUGGCGACCGGCAAACGGGUGCGGAACACGUACAGAACCUUCCUUCGAGCGGGGAAUAGCCCAGAGAAAUUUGGAUUAAUACCCCAUAGUACAACGGAGUGGCAUCGCUUUGUUGUUAAAGAUUUAUCACUUGAAGAUGGCUGUGCGGCUGAUUAGGUAGUUGGCGGGGUAACGGCCCACCAAGCCUGCGAUCAGUAACUGGUGUGAGAGCACGACCAGUCACACGGGCACUGAGACACGGGCCCGACUCCUACGGGAGGCAGCAGUAAGGAAUAUUGGUCAAUGGACGAAAGUCUGAACCAGCCAUGCCGCGUGGAGGAUGAAGGUCCUCUGGAUUGUAAACUUCUUUUAUAUGGGACGAAAAAAGGGUUUUACUUAACUCGUCUGACGGUACCAUAUGAAUAAGACCACCGGACUUAACUCCGUGCCAGCAGCCGCGG
rnacentral:rRNA from 1 species